GCCCGGUUAGCUCAGCUGGUUAGAGCGUCGUACUAAUAUUGUGGGGGUCAAACCCUGCUAUAUCAUGUCAUGCGAAGGUCAACAGUUCAAUCCUGUUACUGGGCA